ACGCAGCGUAUUGGAAUUUCCAUGUCAUCCUUAGAUCAGAAUCAUAGACGGAGUGUGUGUCUCUUGUCGACAGAUCGACGCCGGUGACGGCAGAAGGAGACGCCCCAACGCGGGCAUCCAGCUCGACGUAUCGCUAGCCACGGUCGUCCUCCCUUGAUCCGGUGGUGCUCGGCCCAAUUCGCGCAGUGCCGUAGCUAGGGGUUGUUAGGGGUUCCCUGCAGACGGCCGGAAUUCACCCUUCUCUUCUUUCCCCCCGUAGUACCGUUUCCUAGCUGCCUACGGUCUAUAAUAUCUUGCAGCGAUUGCCGGAACCAAAACGCAUGGUAUCCGCUACUCGGUAUCGGGGAAAAAAGAGGGAGGAGGUAGGUCGUCAACUUUUCUGGCUCAUCGGACGACCUAAAUCCGAUCAAACGAAUUGAUACUCUUGUACGGAAUUAUUAGAACCUCCGAGAAGAACGUAAUCCACAAUGAAUCUUUCACCGAUAGGUAUACACAUAGAGGCAUACUACGUAUGACGAAUUUCACCUACAAGGGGAUUGAAAAAGACGAUGAAUAUUACAGCGGGCUUAAAAAUCUCCUCUCAAUGAGACCGAGAGACAAAGGUGAAACUCAUGAUUUUCUAAAUUCUCGUUCAGCUCACGGGGUGUUCGAAAAUUCUCUGGAUAAUCCUCGAACCGAGAUUCGUUUGUGUAUAUUUGUACACAUCGAAUGACUAGGGUGUUUAUUCGACAUGGACACGUAGUAUAAAUAAUCAAUUCACGAAGAAGGGGUUGGACUUUUUCCGCGGAGUUAGAAAAUAGGAAAAAAAAAACGGAGAGGGAAAAGAGGUGCGGAUGAGAUUUUUUUUUUUUUUUUUUCGGCUUUUCUAGCGAAAAAUUGAGCGAACUGUUGGGGCGAGGCGCCUGACGGGGGCACCGCAAGCCCUUCAGGGUGACCUGAAGCCGACGACGAGUUCCUAACGGCAAGGCGGGGGCCAAGGAAGCCCUUGAAAUCAAUAGCCAGCUACUACCGCCAUCGCCGCCCUGUUCUGCAUCCACAUACUACUGCCCUCGCGCCGCCUCCCACAUCGCUAUUCGCGAGACUCUCUGUCUAUAAUAUCAAGCUGCAGCACUGACUAAAAACCGGAUACCGCGCCGUUCGCAUUUUGUCACGAUACAUACCAUAUAAAACUCGACAGGGUUCUAAUAAUUCAGUACACGGUAAACAGUUCUCAAAGAGUUGAUCUUCCUGGCCGGUUUGCCGUAUAAAAAACGAGUUCGAAUUUGCAAAAAAAAAAGUUUUUUUCCACAUACUCCGUACACGCAACAUCAAUUGCAUGAUAUACGUGCAUCCGGAUAGAUUAGAAAACGUUCCUUUUGUUUGAUAAAUUUUUUUUUAUUUUCAUUUUUUUACUGUUUUCAUUUUUUUCGAUCCUAUGGAUAUCGAAAAUACGCUCAAUGUACAGAGAAAUAUUUUCCAAAUUUUUUAAUUUCACCGUUUUUUCCCUUUCAUUCCCGAAUCCCCACCCUUAAUUAUAAAUACAAUACGAGCUUUCUUCGAUUUUCGUUAGGGGGAAAAUCAAGCUGCACCGAUGAUUUUUCCAGGUCAAAAAAUCGUCUACCCGCAGCUUCGUUAAUUUUUAUAUAAUCGGUAGUGCACGCACGUUAUACCUAUACAGUUGAAAGUUCAGAGAACGCCCCGAAUUCGCGUGCACUAUAUGGUAUACUGCUAUACACAUCUAUGUACAUGAAAGGGUUGACUGUACGAUGAGAUAUUUAUUCCCUGGUAGAACGGAACUUAAGGUUUUCAGACCCUGUAAGCGUAUGAUAAUUAUAAAGAACUCGGGCAAGUGAAAAAUUUUGAUAAUUAUCACCGUUAGACAUUUAUUAAUUUUUACCUUAAAUAUUACGUUAUGGCAUUAUUCAUUAUAGGUACGUAUUAUACAACAGUUUAAAAUACGAUAGUACUAAUCAAUGAUUAUAAGUUUAAUUACAAUGAAAAAUUGAGAGCUGAAUUAAAAAUUGAAACAUAUUUAUGGAUUUAUAUUAUAUCGAACAUAUAAUACGAGCCUGCGCUAAUUAACAACUAUAUAUAGAUGGUAUGUAUAAUAUAAAUUCAAUAAUGUAUGUAUUCACGAUUUUAUAUAGUAUAUAGUGAGUAGCGUGAAUAAUUGUUCCUUCAUUGCUUAACAAUUAUUACAGCUUAAAUGGGAUAUCGAUCUGAAAUUGAAUUAUACAUCUAUUUUACACUGCAUUUCUUUACGGGAAUAGAUAGAAUUUUAUUAUUACUGAAAUAGGUCGUGAAAUAUAUUUGUAUGUUAUUCGUCGUGUGUUAAAUUUCUUUUCUUUUAUCCAGCUAUAAUUAUUAUGAAUAUUUCACGCUGAUCGAAAAAUUAAUUAGAAAUCGUAUAAUAAUCACGAUGUUCAACCGAUCUAAGUUAAAUUCGAAUCUCCUUCAAUUCGAAAGUAGGUUGUUAUGAAUCUUCAGUUAUCCUUUCCCCCUGGUUUGUGAAAAACUACCCCUGUAAAUAUGUUGCAGAAUAUCUCGUGCAUCGUUGUCGGAAUUACGACGAUAAAAGUAUUCUGGUUUUAUCAUCGAUAAAUUUAUUCACCGGUAAUACGAAAGAUGAUACGAUUAGCUAAAGUUCUAAUAUUAAAAAAUAUUAAAACGUAAAAAAUAAACGCGACCUUAUGUAUGUAGUAGGUAGUACAACACCGCGCUUCAACCUAUGUAUGCAUAUUCCAAUAUUCCUUCAAGAUUUUUUCAAUAUUACACGAAGAAUGAGCCAACAUAUUGAUGUAACGUCAUCAUCCCUGCACGUAUCCAAAGAAGUUGACCCGUCGGUAGGUAUAAUUCUAUAAUCAACGUUGUUAUCUUACUUUUUACGUUAAUUUAAUUAAUAAUUAUAUCUAUCAUGCCCUAGUUAUAGC